CAGGAAAUACCGACCGACUGACUGACUGACUUCAGAUCCUUAUCGACUCUAUAAUAUGAUGCAUUGGAUCGCGACGGUGAUGACUACGAUCGUCAUCAUCAUCUCGGCAGCUCCAUCAUCCGAGUGAAGUCCUCGAAGCACACGAACCCGUCCCCGUUCUUGUCCACCUCCGAGAUCAUGCGGCGGCACUCCUCGAGCGUGCACCGCUCGUCCCCGAACGCCGCGAACACCCCGAGGAGCUCCUCCGCCGUGAUUUUCCCGUCGUGGUCCGCGUCGAAGAACUCGAACGUCUCCCGCAGCUCGGCGUCGUCGCAGGCCGGCCCGCACGCCGGACCCACCCGGCUCAGCAGCUCCUCGAUGCUCACGGCGGCGUCCUCCCCCUCGCCGUGGCACCCCACCUCGCUCAGCAUCACCGCCACCUCGUCCCGGCUGCCGAGCCGGCUGAGCAGGGCCUCGAGCUCCUUCCGCGAGAGGAUCCCGUCGCCGUCCCGGUCGAUGAGCCCGAACGCGCGGGCGAGCUCGAGGUUGCUGCCGGCCCAGACCCCGCCCCCGCCGCCGCCGCCGCCGCCGCCGCGGCCGAGGACGCUGGUCGGGGUCAGGGACUCGCCCUUGAGGACGGAGGAGGAGGAUUCGUCCGAGGAGGAGGAGGACGACGAGGCGGCGCCGAAGGAAGGCGUUUCGGAGCGGGACGCGACGGAUCGGCCCUUCCGGGACCCGAAGAGGUGCUUAGGGCUGAGCUUGAGCGCCUUGGAGGUGAUCUUGACGAGCCUCAUGGC
rnacentral:lncRNA from 1 species